UGGAUCAAUGAUGAUCCAUGCCAGCAUAUAAGACAGCGAUGAUGUGUGUCUGGAACUCUGAGGUCCGA
rnacentral:snoRNA from 1 species